rnacentral:rRNA from 1 species
UACAGAGGAUCCAAGCGUUAUCCGGAAUUACUGGGCGUAAAGAGUUGCGUAGGUGGCAUAGUAAGUUAGCAGUGAAAUCGUGUGGCUCAACCAUACUUACAUUGUUAAAACUGCUAAGCUGGAGUAUAUGAGAGGUAGUUGGAAUUCCUUGUGUAGGAGUGGAAUCCGUAGAUAUAAGGAGGAACACCGAUGGCGUAGGCAGACUACUGGCAUAUUACUGACACUAAGGCACGAAAGCGUGGGGAGCGAACGGG